AUUUAUUUAUAAUCUUUUACCAUUUAAAAUUAAUUAAAAAAAUAAGAUAGAGGAGAAUCUAAUAUAUCAAUAAUUUCUCGCCGUCGUCGUGUUCUCGUCGGAACCCAGUUCUACCAUCGCUUGCUCCAUCAUCGAUUAACCAAUUUUACGCAUCUAGGAGAUGUGUUGUACAUAAAAAAAGAGUUUCAUUUGGAGAGUAAUCCAUCAGUGCAAGGUCUAAUUGUGGUGAUGUCACUUGUUUUGCCAAAAACAUCUAGUGGAGUUGAUGGAAUUGGAGUAACAGAUGUGUGAGAAAAGCUCCAUUACUGUGUGAAAGACAGAGAAAUGUGAGUAAUGGUGGUGGUGAUGGAGGAAAGACAGAUAGGUUCUUCAAACUGCAGAAGAUGAAAGUGCCAGUCACUGCAGAACGUUAUGAAGCUAAUGAGCAAGUUUAUCCUAAAAUUUGUUUCUAGUUAUCACUCUUUUUAGAAUUUAUGAAUAUUUAGAAAAAUCUUCCUAAAAUUCAAGAAUGUCUUCCUAAAUAUUAAGAAAUUUUUCUUUAACAUUAUGAAAUCCUUCUUUUCUGAAAAAAAAGUUUUUGAGUCGUUUAAGAGUUUUAAACCCAUUGUGUUUGUGAUAUUGGUGGUAAUGGAAGUAGAACAAGGUUCUUUUCAAGAAAGAGAGAGAUAAGAGAACUUUAUCAAAAGUAAUGUCCAUUUGGAUGAUGUUUCUUUUUUCAAAUAAUUUAAACUUAAUGCUAUAUUUUUCACCAUAAAACUUGUUACUCACUCUGUUUAUAUAAGAUUUAUAGUUUUAUUAUCAUUUAUGAACAUUUAGGAAGGACUCAUUCCUUGAAAUUUAGGAAUGACUUUUUAAAGUAUAGGAAGACCUUCCUAAAAGUUGGACUUGAAAACACAUUUUUGCAUACUAUAAUGUUUACCUUUCUUGCAUAUAGAUAUUUAUUGCUAUAUUUUCACUUAAUGAAAAGUUUGGCUUAUUAGUUACGCGCUCUAUUUACAAAUACUAAAGGAACACGAGAUCGAGUUCUUGUAAGCGGUUGUAGCCGGUUAUUUGAAUUUUAAUCCUUUUUUUUUCAUGAAGGUUUUCUUGAAUUGAAAAGAGACCUUCAUGAAUAUUAUUGAAUCUUUCCUAAAACAUUUGUUUAUAUGACAGAUAUAUGAGUUAAUGUUAUUGAAUCCACCCUGAAUAUAAUUGAGUCAUUUCUUAAUUCUUUUCAACCAUUAUGAAAUUUAUUUAGAAAACACUUUAAAUAUGUAAUUUUCAUAUAAUCUUAUGAGACAUUAUUUUCAUGAAGACUAUCCUGAAAUGCAAGGAAUCAUUCACAAAUAUUAUUGAAUCCUUCUUAAAUUUUUAAAACAAAGUGUUUUUUACUUAGGGAUAACACAGUACAGUAGGGAUUCUGAUUUAUUGUGAGAAGAUGAUAAUGACUUCAUCAUUUAUAAAGUAAUUCAAUUUUUGUUUGUUUAUCCACUAAUAAAGUUUGAUGCUAGAAAGACAAAACAAGCAAACAGGAAAGAUUGAUCUGAUGAAGAAGAAACAUGACAACUGUUCCGGUUUUAUCCCCUGAUCGAGGAGCUGCUUGAGAAACUCCUGAAAGGCGAUCUAUCUAAAAGCAACAAUCUAUGUAUGAACCAGUCAAGUCAUAAGGAGGAGAGUGAACCAAAAACAGGAUCAGUAAGGAAGAGUUCUGCUCCCGCAGCGGUUCCAGAGCGAAAAGCCACCCCUCAUUCUAUGAGAUCAAGAAGAAUUGCAACAUGGGGGCGUCCUCAGACUUCUGACGAUUGAUACUCCAGUGACUCAGUGUUGAAAAUUGCUUCUACGGACUUCAAGAAGCUGGGGCAACACAUCUUUGUAUUCAUUAUUGGUGGGGCAACUCGAUCCGAGCUCCGAGUUUGCCACAAGUUGACAAGCACUUUGAGGAGAGAAGUGGUAUUAGCCUCCACUAGUUUCGACAAUCCCCCACAGUACAUCACGAAGCUGAAAUUGCUGUCGGAAAAAGACAUAGAAGGGGCUCCUACUCAGCCCUUCAAACCACAAUACUGGUGAAUUUGACACGGCUUGCGUCUCAAAAUGUUUUUAGUUGAAGA